rnacentral:rRNA from 1 species
UACGUAGGCAGCGAGCGUUGUUCGGAGUUACUGGGCGUAAAGGGUGUGUAGGCGGUUGUUUAAGUUUGGUGUGAAAUCUCCCGGCUCAACUGGGAGGGUGCGCCGAAUACUGAGCGACUAGAGUGCGGGAGAGGAAGUGGAAUUCCUGGUGUAGCGGUGAAAUGCGUAGAUAUCAGGAGGAACACCGGUGGUGUAAACGGCUUUCUGGACCAUAACUGACGCUGAGGCACGAAAGCGUGGGUAGCAAACAGG